rnacentral:rRNA from 1 species
CGAACGCUGGCGGCGUGCUUAACACAUGCAAGUCGAGCGACGCUCUUCCUUCGGGGAGAUGACGGAGCGGCGAACGGGUGAGUAACACGUGGGCAACCUGCCCCUAGCUCUGGGACAACACCGGGAAACCGGUGCUAAUACCGGAUACGACAUCGAGCGGCAUCUCUCGAUGUGGAAAGUUUUUUCGGCUAGGGAUGGGCCCGCGGCCUAUCAGCUUGUUGGUGGGGUAAUGGCCCACCAAGGCGACGACGGGUAGCCGGCCUGAGAGGGCGACCGGCCACACUGGGACUGAGACACGGCCCAGACUCCUACGGGAGGCAGCAGUGGGGAAUAUUGCGCAAUGGGCGAAAGCCUGACGCAGCGACGCCGCGUGAGGGAUGACGGCCUUCGGGUUGUAAACCUCUUUCAGCAGGGACGAAUUCAGACGGUACCUGCAGAAGAAGCACCGGCCAACUACGUG